AUGGCAGACCUCACCGGGACUUGCCAGCUAAUGCCACACUUUGCCAGUUCUUGCGAGCCCUUGCCAACCCCCUUACCAGCCCUUUCCGGCCCAUGCCACACCUUGCCAGCCCUUGCUAGCUCUAGCCAUCCUUGCCAGCCGAUGUCAGACCAUGCCAGACCUUCUCAACCGUUGCCACACCAUGCCAGCCAUUACCGCACCUUACCAGACCUUGAAAGCCCAUGCCAGCCAAUCCCAGACCUUGCCAGCCCAUGCCGGACCUUGUCACACCUUGUCGGCCCUUGCCAGAACCUACCGGUCCUUGCAAGUCCUUGCCAGCCCAUGCCAGCUCAUGCAUGUCCAUGCCAGCCCAUGCCAGCCAUGCCGGCCCAUGCCGGCCUUUGCCAACCCUUGCCAUCCCACGCCAUACUUUGGCAGACCUUGCCAGUCCUUGCUCGCCUUUGUCAGCCUUUAGCAGCCCUUCCCAGCCUAGCUAGACCUAACAAGACCUUGCCAGCCCAUGCCAGACCUCACCAGGACUUGCCAGCUAUGCCACACUUUGCCAGUUCUUGCGAGCCCUUGCCAACCCCCUUACCAGCCCUUUCCGGCCCAUGCCACACCUUGCCAGCCCUUGCUAGCUCUAGCCAUCCUUGCCAGCCGAUGUCAGACCAUGCCAGACCUUCUCAACCAUUGCCAGACCAUGCCAGCCAUUACCGCACCUUACCAGACCUUGAAGCCCAUGCCAGCCAAACCCAGACCUUACCAGCCCUUUCCGGCCCAUGCCACACCUUGCCAGCCCUUGCUAGCUCUAGCCAUCCUUGCCAGCCGAUGUCAAACCAUGCCAGACCUUCUCAACCGUUGCCAGACCAUGCCAGCCAUUACCGCACCUUACCAGACCUUGAAAGCCCAUGCCAGCCAAUCCCAGACCUUGCCAGCCCAUGCCAGACCUUGUCACACCUUGUCGGCCCUUGCCAGAACCUACCGGUCCUUGCAAGCCCUUGCCAGCCCAUGCCAGCUCAUGCAUGCCCAUGCCAGCCCAUGCCGGCCUUUGCCAACCCUUGCCAUCCCACGCCAUACUUUGGCAGACCUUGCCAGUCCUUGCUCGCCUUUGUCAGCCUUUAG
rnacentral:lncRNA from 1 species